UGUGCUAACAGCUCAUGUGCUGCACCAGGCCUGGAGCAGGUGAUGUCUGUGGUCUGACACUGGAAGUGAAGAGCAUGCCUCAGUGACUGGGAUGAAGACUUAAGUGCAGAGGAAGACUAAACACUGCUGAGAGAAUCUACAUGGUUCCAGUUACUCUUCAGUGAUGUUCUCCAUGACCACCAUCUAAAACUGCUGUCCAUGGCCAUGUGGGUAGUCCAGAGGUGUUCAGACCCUGCAGCUGCUACAGAUGAUUAGAUCUCGCCCACUACUGACCUCUUUCCAAAGAUCAGGUUGACGCUCCAUACCAACGCACCAUUCAUUAUUGUGAUGCAACAAACAUGGAAAAAGAGGAACUCAAGGUCACAUUUCAUCAAUUGCUGUUGUGUGCCAAAGCAUAUUUCUUCCUUAAAACACCUUGACAUUUCUGUUAUAGAGCAUUUUUA